ensembl:piRNA 21ur-2104 ncRNA
UUAGCAAAUCUGUAAAUUUUG